AUUGAACGCUGGCGGCAUGCCUUACACAUGCAAGUCGAACGGCAGCACGGGAGCAAUCCUGGUGGCGAGUGGCGAACGGGUGAGUAAUAUAUCGGAACGUGCCCAGUCGUGGGGGAUAACGUAGCGAAAGCUACGCUAAUACCGCAUACGAUCUAUGGAUGAAAGCGGGGGAUCGCAAGACCUCGCGCGAUUGGAGCGGCCGAUAUCAGAUUAGGUAGUUGGUGAGGUAAAGGCUCGCCAAGCCGACGAUCUGUAGCUGGUCUGAGAGGACGACCAGCCACACUGGGACUGAGACACGGCCCAGACUCCUACGGGAGGCAGCAGUGGGGGAAUUUUUGGGACAAUGGGCGGCAAGCCUGAUCCAGCAAUGCCGCGUGCA
rnacentral:rRNA from 1 species